rnacentral:lncRNA from 1 species
CUCAUAUGCGCCAAGAACCUCAAAUUUAAAAUUGGGAUUUUUUUUUACUUAAAAAAAAAAUCUGACUACCCUCAAAUAUACAAAUGAUUCUAGUCUUCCCUGAUUUCUAAAAGGUCCUGAUACCAAACAUGAACCUGCAUUUUCAUCCAUCUUUGCAACCAGUAUUGAUAGAGUGGCUACUGUGACUUGCACUAAGCUGGGUGGGCAUGCUUUAGGCACCCAGGGAAGCAAGGCAUGGUCUCUCACCUCAAGGAGCCCACCCACUUCCAGGAGAAACAGGUCUGUCCACUUGAAACUGCCCUGGUGUGAUGCAUGGCUUGCUGGAGGCAUGGAGAAGUGGGAAAAUUCUAAGGUGAUUCGAGUUGGGACCUACUCAGAGAAUGGUUCAUAUAAGGAAGAAUAAGUACCCCGAUAUGGGUGGAUAAUUUCUCACAAGAGACAUGACUUGAGCAAAGAUACACAAACAUAAAAAGUAGCUUUGCCACUUCAUUCUUGGGCCCACGCUGAAGAACCAGUCUUUUUCUGAAACAUUGCUAAGAAUGUGGCAGAAGGAAGAGAUAUGGCAGAACUUCAUCAUGGCCCUGACAAACUCUGCUCUGAAAACCUUCAUGAUGGUGCUGAAAACUGACUCCCCCUGAGAGUUCCUUGGCUAAAUGAGUCACUUGGCCAAGCCUGACAUCCUCAGAGUGGGAAAACAAUCUUCCCAAAAUAAGGGCACCAUAAAUUACAUAG